GUACAAAGACUGAAAAGGAAUGGAAUGUAUUUUUCAAAAGUGAUAAAUCCUUGAGAGAAGACACAAUGUAUGACCAAUCCCAUAUGGUAUAAAUUUCAGCACUACAAGUUUCUCAGAUAAUUCAGAUGUCAUGGUUCCUUUGGCUCCUUCAAUAGAAACAGUAAAGGGCCCUGGACUCAAACUCCCUCUGUGCAAGUCCUGGCUGUGUUUCUUGCUACCGGCGUAAUGGUAGUGCUAUUUAAGCAGCAGUGCAUGUCUCCUCACAUUUGAAAAUAUUGAUUGGGUCUUGAAGACAGAAUAACAAGCGCCAGAACUCAAGCAUUUUGCCAGGAGUGGUGCUGCCUCAUCAGUACUUCAGAUCCAGGCAGGGAAACUGUCAGCAGAACUGCUCCAAAGUCUGCUUUGUGAAAUGCACAUAAGCGGUCUCCCAGACCCACUUUCCAUCCUUCUCCUUUCUGAGGAGGAGGUGGUUAGAAAAAAAAGAAGAAGACAACAAAAGAGUAGAUGAGAGAGAUGUGGCAAAAGAAGAGGCAGAAGAGAAGAGGCAAGAGAAGGAUUCUCCCACCCAUUGCUGUCUUUAGAGAUGCAGGCUAUGAGCCAAAAAGCACAGAUAGCUCCGGAAGCUGAGGACAAGCCACACUGCCCACACUCCCGCAACUGCCCAGAACUGAAUUUUGCCAAUUACCUGCAUAAAUCAGAAAAUGGAUGCUCACUAGAGUCUCCAGAAGGGAGCCUGGCUUGCUGACACCUAGAUUUUUGUCUUGUGAGACUGAUCAGAGGAAUUAUCCCAGCACACUUGACUUCUGAAAUUGUGAUAUAUCUAUGCCUGCAGAAACCCAUGACAUGCAGAAACUAUGAGUUAAUAAAUGAAUGUUGUUUUAAGCCAUCA
rnacentral:lncRNA from 1 species